rnacentral:rRNA from 1 species
UCAGGAUGAACGCUGGCAGCGUGGCUAAGGCAUGCAAGUCGAACGGUCUUUAUUUGAAAAUUUAUUUUUGGAUAAAGAUAGUGGCAAACGGGUGAGUAACACACUGGUAACCUACCUCCAACACAGGCACAACAUUGAGAAAUCGAUACUAAUACCUGAUAUGCUCGAUUGACAUAAGUCAAUUGUGUAAAAGUUCGCUGGUUGGAGAGGGGCCUAUGGCUCAUCAGCUAGUUGGUAAGAUAAAAGCUUACCAAGGCUAUGACGAGUAGCGGGUGUGAGAGCACGAUCCGCCUCAAUGGGACUGAGACACUGCCCAUACUCCUACGGGAGGCUGCAGUCAAGAAUCUUCCCCAAUGGACGAAAGUCUGAGGGAGCGACGCUGCGUGAAUGAAGACGCCCUUCGGGGUGUAAAAUUCUUUUAUUAGUGAGGAACAAAUGACGUUAACUAAUGAAUAAGGGGCUGCUAACCUCGUGCCAGCAGCAGCGGUGAUACGAGGGCCCCAAGCGUUAUCCGGAUUUAUUGGGCGUAAAGGGUCCGUAGGCGGUCUUUUAAGUUAAAUGUUAAAUUUCAGGGCUUAACUCUGAAACCGCAUUUAAUACUGGAAGACUAGAGACCGGAAGAGGCAUGUGGAAUUGCCGGUGUAGUAGUCAAAUGCGUUAAUAUCGGCAGGAACACCAAAUGCGAAGGCAUCAUGCUAGGACGGUUCUGACGCUGAGGGACGAAAGCGUGGGUAGCGAAUGGGAUUAGAUACCCCAGUAGUCCACGCCGUAAACGAUGGGUACUAGGCAUUGGAAGUGUCGACCCUUUCAGUGUCGUUUAACUAAGCUAACGCGUUAAGUACCCCGCCUGAGGAGUACGACCGCAAGGUUAAAACUCAAAGGAAUUGACGGGAACCCGCACAAGCAGUGGAGCAUGUGGUUUAAUUCGAUGAUGAGCGGAGAACCUUACCAGGGCUUGAUAUCUAGCUGCACGUCUCCCGAAAGGGAGAAAGCCUAAGAGGGUGCUAGACAGAUGCUGCAUGGUCGUCGUCAGCUCGUGGCGUGAGUUGUACGGUUAAGUCCGGUAACGAGCGCAACCCCUACACUGUGUUACACUUUCACAGAGAACUGCCCCGCAUAACGGGGAGGAAGGUGGGGAUGAUGUCAGAUCAGCAUGGUUCUUACGCCCUGGGCUACACGCAUGCUACAAUGGCUGGUACAAUGGGUCGCGAAAUCGCGAGAUGGAGCUAAUCCCAUCAAAACCAGUCUCAGUUCGGAUUGAAGGCUGCAAUUCGCCUUCAUGAAGCUGGAAUUGCUAGUAACCGCGGAUCAGCUACGUCGCGGUGAAUACGUUCUCGGGUUUUGUAC